UUCAAACCCUAACCUUUCAAUUACUCUUCAUUGCCAUCAACCAACUGACCAGACUCUUUAGUGCCGGUGCUCCUUUGUUCAGUUCCCACCGUCGCCGUCGAAGUUCAUCCGUCCAGCUCGCUGUCAAGUGUCUAUCGAGUCAACUUCUAAAGUUUGUUGUUGCAGGCAUCAAUUCCUUCAGGUCCCUCUGUCCGUGUCCUAUCAGUUUUCACGCAUCCUGUCUUUGAUCUGUGCUGCUGGAAGUCCAAUCUGCACUGUGGAAGUCUAAUUUGCAUAGAUUUUAACCCAGUUCAUGUCUCAUGCUUCAGUCUGCACCACCGCUGCCUGUUGCAUUGAGUUUGCCACCUCGCUUUUAGCUGAAUCUCAGCUGUCGCUUGCUUCAGGUCUUAAGCUUCCCGUCGUGUGCUCCAUCCUGAUCGAGUUCACCACCUAAUCACUUUCAACUCUUGCCUUCCUGCCUCUAUCCGUCCCUCACGGUACAUUUAAUACUUCGAACAUGAUUAGCUCAAAAAAAAUCUCCAGUGUCAUUCCUUGGCUAUCGAGUAGAGGAAUAGCCUAGGUAUAUAUUCGUUAAUUGUUUUAUUUCCAGAGCUAUUUGGAGUGGCCUCUAUCAAAUCUUCGGAUAAUGCCUCUUUGGGAUAAUUUCAUGGCUUACUAAGACCAUCAUUUGGAAUUCUCCUUGUGCUUUAGAUGUUUUUGUUCAAUAUAUUAUUGCCACUCUCCUUCAUUUAGGAAUCCAGACGUAAGGCUUUGGGUGAAAUUUUUCUUUAUUAUUUCUAUUUAUCAAGAAUAAAAUAGUAGUUGGUAAAAAAACAGAGAAUAAAAUAGUGUAAAAGUAAAUAAUAAUUUAUUGAAAUUUUAGCGAGCAAUAUAUCUGGAUCCAAAUGUUGUGAAAACUAAAUUUCAUUACACAACAAAAAAGUGAAGCUAGUUUCCUAACACAUUGUUCAAAGAGGAGUUAGUACCUUUAUGCUAUCAUCUAGUUACAAUCACUUGAAAUUCCUGUAUAAAUUUUUUGGUAACUGGAUCCUCAUUACUAGUUGAAUGUGUGAGCAUGCAUAUAUUAAGUUUAGUGCUUACUGAUAAAAUAUGGUUAUAUUGUGGUUUCUAAUUUAUUUUGGCUAAGUUAGUGGGCAACUUAAGGGAGCUACCAAUCAGUUUUUUGAAUGCCUUGAUGGAAUACGGAGCUACCAAUCAACUUUAGGGAGCAGUGGAAUGUGGAGCUGGACAUAUUCUGUGUUUAGCGCUAUCACUACUGCAUCUACCGUGGCUUCUGGAUCUUUGCAUACUACAUCUGGGGAUGUAGGAAAGUUGAGCAGAAGCUAAUUGAGGAAGAUCAGAAGAAAAUAAAGGAAGCAGCAAAAUUGGACCCCACUAUUGUUGUUCCGCCCUUAUAAUGCCCAACACGUCAAAGAAAAUGGAAGGCCAAAAGGAUCAAGAAAGGGGAGCAUAUCACUCCAAAGGCUGCUGUAGUUGCUGAAAAAAUCAUAAGAUUCACUUAACGAGCAAGCUUCUUAAGGUUCCUUCACUCCUAGAGGAAGGAUGGACAUUCUAUCAACUGCAAUUGGAAAGCCAGAACAUCUUGGUUGAGUUAGAAGGGUUAGUAGAGGAGUUGGUUUCAAUUAAUACUUUAGACCAACUCCACAAAGCUCUCUAGGAAGUAUGUCUAAAGAUGAGAUCCAUUAGUUGGUGGCCAAGCUUAAGGAAGAUACUCAAGCUAAGGUUCAACAAGAGGUUGAGCAAGAGUUUCGUGAAUCAUUCUAGGAAGAUAUGAUGGCCUAGGUUUGUGAAGAGAUGAAAUCUAUGGUCACUAGUAUCACAAUUUUGAGAGUUGAUCAUUCACCUCAGAUGAUAGCGAAGGAACUUCUUGUUGCCUUUACCUAAAGUAUCCAAAAAACCGUGUUGUUGUCGAAGGUCAAGUAUACAAGUUUGGGUCCACAAUUCAUCAUUAGAAGAUUAAAGAGGAUCAAGUUAGGAUGACAAUUACACAUGUUCGAAAGGCUACCAUUGGUCACUUUGUGUUAUUUGUCCAAAUCAAGGUGUAGUAUACUGGUUUUGUUCUCUAGGCAAAACACCAAGCAACGAGUGCACUUGAGACAUAUUAUAUGCUUACACUUGGGGAAUGCAAGCCAAAAUCAUUAGUGGAAUAGAUUUAUCCAAAUUGCCGUAGCAACCAGGAAGCAUAUAAUGUGGAUAUUAUAUUACCCGUUACAUGUAUGAGAUAAUUCAAGUUGGAAGUACUGAAAGAUUACAAGAGGUAUUUGGUUUUGUCAUUUUAGUUCAAAUUCUUGUUUUUAAUUGC